rnacentral:rRNA from 1 species
UACGUAGGGUGCGAGCGUUGUCCGGAAUCAUUGGGCGUAAAGAGCGUGUAGGCGGCCCAGUAAGUCCGCUGUGAAAGUCAAAGGCUCAACCUUUGAAUGUCAGCGGAUACUGCUGGGCUAGAGUCCGGAAGAGGCGAGUGGAAUUCCUGGUGUAGCGGUGGAAUGCGCAGAUAUCAGGAGGAACACCAACGGCGAAGGCAGCUCGCUAGGACGGUACUGACGCUGAGACGCGAAAGCGUGGGGAGCGAACAGG